AGGGCGCGGGGCGGGUUGCGCCGCCAUGUUGGCCUGAGGAGGCAGAGCGGAGCCGGUGUUGCUGCGGGACUGCGGCUCGCUUCGCUGUGCCUCCGCCUCUUGGGGCGGCUUACGGUAGGAGCGGCUGUUAAAAAGCUGUCUUGGUAUGAGCCCUGAAGUGGCUGAGGAGGAGUGGCAAGAGCAUUCCAAAAACCUACGUUAGCAUGAAGUAGUUGAAUAAGCCUGACAGGCUCCUAGUCCCGCCCUCAGCCGCUCUCACAAAGUCCUUUCUCGGCGUGAUCAUGUGGUGAAACGAGAACUGAUCCCGUUUGUAUUGUGUAGAGGAAGAAGAGUACAGACAUCUCUGCUAGAUCUUCAGUUUAUUCCCCGAACAAAGAGGUAUUUUGUGACUUUUUUUUACAUCAAUAGUAAUUUUUGUGGUUAACUAGGCAAUGGUCUUUGCUUUGGCCUUCAAAAUCAGUGAUAAAGCUGUUUGGUUUUGCUGGUGUGGCUUUGCUUCAUUAGCUUAGUUGAAACAGGACUGUUCCACCUUGGAAAGACUCCUGGUAGCUGCUUGGCAGGCUGGCUCAGCACAUCUCUGCUCCCAGAAAUAACAAACCUUUUGGCUGCAAGCAUCCCAGCCUUUCUCCCAAAGACUAGUAAAUUAACCUGCCUUCCUGUUUCAUGUCAAGCUGAGCAGUAACCCCACAUCCAUGGGAUAAAUGCUCAGCUACUGUAUCUAGUGCAAGAUACGUUUGCCAAUUGUAAAGUUCUCUCUUGCCUAUUUAAAAUUUGAUAAACAUUCUCUGAAUAAGCGAGGAACUGAUUACUUAGUUACUAGCUGAACUUCCUAAGAUGAA